AAGUAUUUGUAGUCUGGUGCUCUUAGAAACAACAAAGCUUUUUGAUUUUUUGCUAAAAGCUAAUUCGAUUACCCGACUAUAAAGGAAACAUUCGGAUCUGGCAAUUUAAGGGAACACGGUUAUUCACUCUGUAAAUGCCAAGCGAAUUCAACUGAGGUGUGCAGUUUCUGCAGCUUUGCGUUGAUCAGCAACACAAACGUUGGUAAGCCACUUUAAAGUACUUCCAUGCAUCUUCUACAGGCGCCACAGAACCUGUAAUUAAAAAUAAUGGCUGAAACCAUCAAGCACAAACAAACGGCAAAAGGUCAGUGCAGCAGGCGACGCUGUCAUGACGUAUAAAGGCUCCAAUCAGGCAGAGACGCUCGGCCAUGAAUUAUAAAACGAGCCAAGUCAUCUGAGUUAUGUCACUUCAUACCGUCAGCAGCUCUCCUUCCUGCUCACACACUCCAUCAUAGCUGACUGGAGCCAUUUUCUCACACUGCCUGCCCUUCCACUUUGCAUAGUGUUGGUGUGUCUUUAACAGCGCCGAUCUCUGUCUUCCUUUAUCUGCAAGCGUCACUUGUAGAUGUAAAUAAUAGAUUUUGCCUGGACAUUUUCCAUGUUUUUGAAAUGCUACCUUGGAUUCAAACACCGGGGUAUCUGCGUUGUUUUGGGUUGAAGUAGAUGGCAUCAUUUUUGACUGGAAGUGAACGAGGCUUCUGGGGCUUUUGGAGCAAUGCAAGUGUAAAAUAAGCAAACUAUAUUUGUUUUUUGAGGCUUAGCUGCUUUAGUGUCAUGGAAGUUAUGCUACAGCUAAAGUAUGGUUGAAAGUGUAACUUUAGAAACAUGCACGUACUAUUCCUUUUAUCCUUUAUUUUAUUUCCUCUAAAGUCGAUGUUUUGGUUACAAUGUCUGUUUUUCGUUGAACACUCAAAUUCCAAAAUCUAAUUCCUUGGUUACACACACAAUCCUGGCCAAUAAAACCCGAUUCUGAUUUCAAUAUUAGUAUAACUGCACCCAUCCUCAUCCUCACUUCUACCUUCACUCUGUUGCCUGGCUCACAUUUAUAUUUAUCUCUCCUCCAGUUUCCACAUUUCUCCCCCCUCCCCCGUUCCAUCUUCAGAGCAUUUUUCAUUCUCUGACCAUCUUUAUAUAGCUUAAUGCAUUCAUCUGCAAUGUUCUGUUACCUUUUAAAUCUCAUGGCAAAUCUCUCUCCAUUGUGUGUGUGUGUAUUAUUGUAACAUUUCAUUAUUUUGUGCUGUUACCUCAUUAGAGCAAACAGCUGCAAAUUCGUGUGCGCAAAGUGAUAUUUCCAAUUGAUUUGGUUUAUUCGGGGGGGAAAAAAAAUGCAAUUUAUUCCAGCUGAGUUAUAAGUAGGUCGUCCACCACACUUUUCUCUCUUGCCUUGCAGAGGUGCUAGAUUGUUCUCGCCUCUUGCUGCUCGCCGAUACUGUUCAAAGGUCGCAAUCUCGUAGGGUUUGACAGACGAUGAUGAACUGCGGCUUGUUUCUACAGGCCGCUAGCCAAGCGAGGUGUGUGUCCAUGACUACGUCCGCCUACAGCGCUCUGCUCUUUAAGUGAUAUGGUCUGUGCACAAGAGAUUUGGAAGAAUCCCGCCUGACAGUGUGUUUACACAGGGCUCUCAUCCAGGCCCACGGCCGAGCGACGCAGUUUGAAACUGAUGUGGCCAAAUAAGCUGCGGCGCAGGAAAACCUCGGCUGCUAGAAAGAAUUUCUCUCUAAUCGCGUCCCGCCGCACGAGGAGAGGAGGAAGGAGUUCUUACGGUGGAAAGGAGACGUCACUUAUUACAGCGGUCCCGUCAGGCCGUCUGUCGGGCACACGCUGAAACACAGACCCGGAGUCAGGCUGGCAGGUCCUCCAGCCGCACGAAAGCUUCGAGCUCUGAGCCGAAACCUCGCUUUGGAGUUCGUCGCGGACUUUCAAGCAUCGCCUGAGCCAGCCUUUCGAUUCCUGGCCCGGAAAGAUCUCCUGUCCAUCCACGUGAAGCACAUUUGAAUUUCAGGUACCGUUUUGAACACAGUCGGUUUCUGGGUUGAUGAUCGAACAAGUCAUCCCGUCUCUGACAGUCUGUGAUAAACACAUCAAUUAAAUAAUCGGCGAUUUGGUGAGUCACUUAUUCAUCAUCUAUAAGUUACAGGG